UACGUAGGUGGCAAGCGUUGUCCGGAUUUACUGGGCGUAAAGGGCGUGCAGGCGGUCUGUUAAGUGCAGGGUGAAAGCUCCCGGCUCAACUGGGAGAGGUCCUUGCAUACUGGCGGACUUGAGGGGGGUAGAGGAAAGUGGAAUUCCCGGUGUAGUGGUGAUAUGCGUAGAUAUCGGGAGGAACACCUGUGGCGAAGGCGGCUUUCUGGGCCCUACCUGACGCUGAGACGCGAAAACGUGGGGAGCGAACCGG
rnacentral:rRNA from 1 species